ACACACGCGCAACUUAUCGAGAAUCAUGUCCAGAGCCUUAACCCACAUCAAAGUGGGAACCACCACUACGUGUGGCUCAGCUUUUUUCUGAAUGACGCCCCCGUGCGUUCUAAAAUUGUCCAAUGUUUAUAAUAAAUAAAUAUAGUGUAUCGUUCGGCGCACUGAUUCUACUGCGAUUCAAAAUAUAGUUGCAAUGGAAUCGACCAUGAUACGAUUGGAAAUGAAGAAAAAUAUUUUAUACUCUAUUGUAAUCUUCAUUUUUCCUGUAUAAAUCACCAAGACAAUGGUAAUAAAAAAUCAAAAUAGAACAAUAAUAACGAAGAGUCGUAUUCGUCAUAAAAAAUUCAUUUGGGAGAAAUUUAUUGCUUGUUAUUUUAUCAAUGCUUUCUUUCUAAUGUGAGAAUGUGUAAAUAACGAACAAAUAAUUCUCGAAUUGCUUAAUGCUAUUGCUUAGACCUGAACUUCUAUGUAACAUCAUUGCUUAUGUAUCAUUAGGUUGAACGAAAAGAUUCUAAUAUUGUAUGUUGCAUUAGUCAUUCGAUGAGAAAUCUUCGUGGAUUUUAGAGUGUUAAGAAGCGUUUUAAAAAAUGAAUGUCGAAACGUCAAAAGUGGAUAACACGUAAAAAUACGUAACAUGAAAAUAUAAGCAAACAUGGUAUUUAAGCAUAUUUACCUAAAUUCUGGUAGAUCAUUGUCAAACUGUACACUGGUUUCAUGGAGAACAGCGAGAUUGUUAUCGACGACAACUGCUUUCAACUACAAAUGUCAAAAGAUACUUGUUAACGGCCUCUUAAAUUCGCAAUACUAUGCUGUUCUUCGGUUUUUUAUCUACAUCAUCGAAUAAGUUAUGUGCAACAAGGCUGCCAUGUGACAUAGCAUAGUCAAUUAGUUAUGCUACUCUAUAAUGUAAUUCGAAAUUUAAAAUUCAAAACUUUCUACCAAUUUUCGUAUCUACCGUAUGAAUAUAUACACGUGUAACGUUUAAAUAUACUACUAAUCGUGUUUAAUAAAGUAAAAAAGUGUCCAGAUGUAUCAUCGCCCAUAAGUUUUAAUCAUAAGUACAAAUAUCGUGAAACGCGUAAAGUCUCGAGUGAUAUUAAAUGGACAAAUAAGUAUCGUUAUUAAAAUGGAUCAUGGAAUAGGAUAAAAUAUCAAAUAAAAUAAUAUUUGUUUCGAUAAAUAAAACGAACAGAUGUCCCAAUAAGUAGAUACUUAUGAUCGAUAAUGUAUAUAUCACGAGCUAUAGUUUAUGCAACAGAAAUUAUUAUGUAGAAUCCACAGAUAUUGAUGAUUGUCGGGUAUUUAAUUUGUCGAAAGUUGACAAGCAGAUAACAUUCACGUCUGAUGGUAUCGAUUAUUCUUGUAUAUCGCUUAUGAUUCACAUAUUUCUUCAUUUUUAAAGGAUAAAUAAUUACGACAAAUUGAAUUAACGAAUAGAUAAAAAUAAAUGUUUUAUACGAAUUGGUUAUAUUACGAUACAGUCGUUUAUGAUUGAUGGAUUUUUGAUCCCAAAGAUGCGCAAGAAGCACUUUGCAAUUUCAAUUAUCAUUUCGACCGCUUCUAGCAUUUCGCGUUUUUCGUUGCAAACGAGAUACGCAUUUCUUUCGUCCGUAUCGUCCUACUGCUUAAUGUUAUCAUUAUGUUAGAUAAUUGUGACCCAUCUGACGCGCGUCACACGCAGCGAAACGCUUCUCGUCAACAACUUCGAAUUUUCGUAUCAUUUUAGUGUAUUAUUGACUGUAAUAUUUGUUUAUACCUAAAAGCUAACUGUGGUAAAUUUACCGUUAGACAUUAAAGUACCGUUAACUUAA